rnacentral:lncRNA from 1 species
CUCACCUCUCCUCCACUUAUGAAAACAGAGAGGACCCCUUUCCUGCUGGAGGGACAGCUCACAUGUGAGCUGGAGAGUCUGGCUCCCAACUCUGCAGCCUCCUACCCACUCUGGCUCCUUGCUCUACAUGCCUGAGGCACAGUAACUCCUCUUGGCAGUCAUCAAUCCUUGUCCUUGCACUAUGAUUCCAGGGUUUGUGUAGUCACCUCCCUCCAUCUCUGUCUUCUCUUCCAUACCCUUCUCCCUGCUUCAGGUUAUCAUAAUGGCUGAUUGGCCCAUCCGCCAUUCCCCCUUUCCUUUGAUUCACUUUGGCCCACUUUGAUUCACCUCUCUCAAUCCAUGGGGACUCAGGCAUCAGUCCUGGGCAGUUACUAUCAGCUAUUCUAGUCUCAUCUUCUUUGCUGCGGCAAUGGGAAUCCUGUCCCAUCAAUGAGACAUGAGCAAAAGUCUCCUAGGAGUUUCUGGAUAGGGUUUACUUUCUGAUAAAAUAGACCCACAGGAAGCAAUAGGUUGUUCUUCUGGACUUUUGUAUAUUAGAAUGUUACAUGUUUUAACCAGUGGAAGUAAGGUCACACUCUGAGGAGGGCCAAGCCCAGAGAGAGGCCCUGGAGCCAGGCAUAUGGUGCUCGCUUGCCUCUGUACUUUCUACUAGGUCCCCACUGGGGUAUCCAACAUGAGCUUGUCUUUGUUACUUGCAGCCAAACUUGUUUCACCUUGACCCCACCCCCUGUGAAGCCUCCUCUGACCUUCUGUCCUUACAUUGGCACCCGGCCCCAUUCUAGGUGCCUGAAGGUGGAGGUUAUCCCUUCUCCAUGGCUGUGCCUUGCCCUCCCCCACAUCCUGGUGAUAGGCUAGAUGCCUAUCCAAUAGCAUUCAGU